rnacentral:lncRNA from 1 species
ACUAUGUGUUAACUAAAUUGAAUUUAAAUUAAAAAAACUAAAAUAAAUAAAUAAUAAAAUUUAUUUUCUAUCCUCCCUUAGUGUUGUAAGAAAAAUCAGAUGAAUAUUCCAUGCAGGGAAUGGCCAUGAGAUGCCAGGUGCUUCAGAAGGCCUAUCUGGAAAACACUGAGGGUUUGUCCUGAAGGACCCUGUGGCGCCUGUAAUGAGAAUAAUGUCUGUUGUGAUGGUAGAAGAAUCCACACUGUAAGGAGUUAAGAAGCUUCCUGGAAGUCUGGCUUCAUCCAUGGAAAACAUUCAGAAUAUCAAUCACAGCAAAAUUAACCUGGGGACCUUGAAACUUCUGAAUUUAUCUACCAGAUUUGAACCAGCUCUGGUUGCCACCCAAAUCCCACUGCCUCCAAGAGCCAGCCUCAGGAUGAGCCUGAGAUGCCAGAGUGGAGUAACAGAGAGAAGUGGGCUGUUGAUGAUACCAUUCAUUGAGCAUUGCUUCAUGCCUGGAAUGUGCUCACCUCUAGAUUUCAGCUGUUAGAGAUUUUCUUCUAGUUUAAGGCAGCUUGAGUUAUGGUUUUGUUGCUUAUACCAGAGAAACAUUCUAAAUGAUACAGAGAUACAUGACUGUCAUCAAGGAAUCCAUGAUCAAAAAGGUGUAAAAAUCACUGAGCUGUUGAAAUGAGUGGUAAUCGUAAGAGCUAGCACACAUACAACAUUUUCUAGACGACCAUCGCCAGAACCAUCAACGAAGUAGAGACGCAGAUCCUGACGAGAGAUGACAAGGGCAUCACCCAGGAGCAGAUGAACGAGUUUAGGGCNAAAAAAAAUCACUGAGCUGUUGAAAUGAGUGGUAAUCGUAAGAGCUAGCACACAUACAACAUUUUCUAGACACUAUGCACUCUUUUUAGCACUCUAUGUAAUUUCAUUUUUUAAAACCUGUACUCAGUGAGAUUGGUAUCAUCAUCAUCAUAUCCAUUUUACAGAAAUAGAAGCUUACUCAUGAGAGCUAAGUAAGUUGGCUAAGGUCACUCAGCUAGUGAACCCAAGUGGCCUGGUUUCAGGGUCUGGGCACAUAAUUGCUCUACUGUACCGCACCUUGGUAAAGAGCAUGGACCUUCUAGGUAAACAACCUUUCUUCCAACCUGGGGUUUGUGUAAAGAUUGGACACCACAGGAGCCAUAGUAUUAGUCCCCGGCAAGAUUCUGGAAGACAGCUAUUCUGUAUUGCCAAGUGAAUUGGCAGAUAUACAACUCUGAUAGUCGGUAGUCCAGGGAGGAUGGCAAAAUGGUUAAGAUCAGGAAUUGUUAUUCAGAUAACAUGAGUUGAAUCCUGGCUUUGCUGCUUACUGGCUUUGUGAUCUAAUCUGCAGGAGCCUCAUUUUCCUCAACUAUAGAAUGUAGCUGGCAAGGUUUCAUAAGGAUUAAACAAGAUGGUGUGCAGAAUAAGGUCUUCUUACUGAAAGACCACAAUUUAGAAUGGAUGGCCUCUGGCCUUUGUAUGCUGGUGUGGCAGGGGAGGCAUGGUGACUGACUUGGAAA